UCCCAGACUCCUCGGGAGGCAGCAGUGGGGAAUAUUGCACAAUGGGGGAAACCCUGAUGCAGCGACGCCGCGUGAGCGAUGAAGUAUUUCGGUAUGUAAAGCUCUAUCAACAGGGAAGAAAAUGACGGUACCUGACUAAGAAGCCCCGGCUAACUACGUGCCAGCAGCCGCGGUAAUACGUAGGGGGCAAGCGUUAUCCGGAUUUACUGGGUGUAAAGGGAGCGUAGGCGGUUUAGCAAGUCAGAAGUGAAAGCCCGGGGCUCAACUCCGGGACUGCUUUUGAAACUGUUGAACUAGAUUGCAGGAGAGGUAAGUGGAAUUCCUAGUGUAGCGGUGAAAUGCGUAGAUAUAAGGAAGAACACCAGUGGCGAAGGCGGAUGACUGGACGGCAACUGACGGUGAGGCGCGAAAGCGUGGGGAGCAAACAGGAUUAGAUACCCCAGUA
rnacentral:rRNA from 1 species